rnacentral:rRNA from 1 species
AACGAACGCUGGCGGCAUGCCUAACACAUGCAAGUCGAACGAGACCUUCGGGUCUAGUGGCGCACGGGUGCGUGACGCGUGGGAACCUGCCCUUAGGUUCGGAAUAACUCCCCGAAAGGGGUGCUAAUACCGGAUAAUGUCUUCGGACCAAAGAUUUAUCGCCUUUGGAUGGGCCCGCGUUGGAUUAGCUAGUUGGUAGGGUAAAAGCCUACCAAGGCGACGAUCCAUAGCUGGUCUGAGAGGAUGAUCAGCCACACUGGGACUGAGACACGGCCCAGACUCCUACGGGAGGCAGCAGUGGGGAAUAUUGGACAAUGGGCGAAGGCCUGAUCCAGCAAUGCCGCGUGAGCGAUGAAGGCCUUAGGGUUGUAAAGCUCUUUUACCCGGGAUGAUAAUGACAGUACCGGGAGAAUAAGCUCCGGCUAACUCCGUG